UACAGAGGGGGCAAGCGUUGUUCGGAAUUACUGGGCGUAAAGGGCGCGUAGGCGGCCUUCUAAGUCGAACGUGAAAUCCCCGGGCUCAACCCGGGAACUGCGUCCGAUACUGGAAGGCUUGAAUCCGGGAGAGGGAUGCGGAAUUCCAGGUGUAGCGGUGAAAUGCGCAGAUAUCAGGAGGAACACCGGUGGCGAAGGCGGUUCUCAGGGCAUUACCUGACGCUGAGGAGCGAAAGUGUGGGGAGCGAACAGG
rnacentral:rRNA from 1 species